rnacentral:rRNA from 1 species
CAUUUGCUGUACCGCGUUGACGGAGCGAAGCGACGUCAAACCGAUAAAACAGCAGUGUAAAGUGAGCCGCAGGGCGCUUUGCGCGACAGCGCAAAGGCAGGCGGUUUCGCGUAGCGAAAGCGAAUGCUUUGGGGUGGGGUGACUGCGUACCUUUUGUAUAAUGGGUCAGCGACUUAUAUUCUGUAGCAAGGUUAACCGAAUAGGGGAGCCGGAGGGAAACCGAGUCUUAAUUGGGCGUUAAGUUGCAGGGUAUAGACCCGAAACCCGGUGAUCUAGCCAUGGGCAGGUUGAAGGUUGGGUAACACUAACUGGAGGACCGAACCGACUAAUGUUGAAAAAUUAGCGGAUGACCUGUGGCUGGGGGUGAAAGGCCAAUCAAACCGGGAGAUAGCUGGUUCUCCCCGAAAGCUAUUUAGGUAGCGCCUCGUGAAUUCAUCUCCGGGGGUAGAGCACUGUUUCGGCUAGGGGGCCAUCCCGGCUUACCAACCCGAUGCAAACUGCGAAUACCGGAGAAUGUUAUCACGGGAGACACACGGCGGGUGCUAACGUCCGUCGUGAAGAGGGAAACAACCCAGACCGCCAGCUAAGGUCCCAAAGUCAUGGUUAAGUGGGAAACGAUGUGGGAAGGCCCAGACAGCCAGGAUGUUGGCUUAGAAGCAGCCAUCAUUUAAAGAAAGCGUAAUAGCUCACUGGUCGAGUCGGCCUGCGCGGAAGAUGUAACGGGGCUAAACCAUGCACCGAAGCUGCGGCAGCGACACUGUGUGUUGUUGGGUA